UCAAGCGAACAAGUGCAUGUGGUGGAUGCCUUGGCGAUCACAGGCGAUGAAGGACGCGGUAGCCUGCGAAAAGCUACGGGGAGCUGGCAAACAAGCUUUGAUCCGUAGAUGUCCGAAUGGGGAAACCCACUCCUUUUGGAGUAUCCAUGGCUGAAUACAUAGGCCAUGUGAAGCGAACGCGGUGAACUGAAACAUCUAAGUAACCGCAGGAAAAGAAAUCAACCGAGAUUCCCAAAGUAGUGGCGAGCGAAAUGGGAUGAGCCUUGCACUCUUUAUUUGUAUUGUUAGCCGAACGCUCUGGAAAGUGCGGCCAUAGCAGGUGAUAGCCCUGUAGGCGAAAACAGUAUGAAAGAACUAGGUGUGCGACAAGUAGGGCGGGACACGUGAAAUCCUGUCUGAAGAUGGGGGGACCAUCCUCCAAGGCUAAAUACUCGUGAUCGACCGAUAGUGAACCAGUACCGUGAGGGAAAGGCGAAAAGAACCCCGGGAGGGGAGUGAAAUAGAUCCUGAAACCGCAUGCAUACAAACAGUCGGAGCCUCGUAAGGGGUGACGGCGUACCUUUUGUAUAAUGGGUCAGCGACUUACGUUCAGUAGCAAGCUUAACCGUAUAGGGCAGGCGUAGCGAAAGCGAGUCCGAAUAGGGCGUUCAGUUGCUGGGCGUAGACCCGAAACCAGGUGAUCUAUCCAUGGCCAGGAUGAAGGUGCGGUAACACGUACUGGAGGUCCGAACCCACUAACGUUGAAAAGUUAGGGGAUGAGCUGUGGAUAGGGGUGAAAGGCUAAACAAACCUGGAAAUAGCUGGUUCUCUCCGAAAACUAUUUAGGUAGUGCCUCGUGUCUCACCUUCGGGGGUAGAGCACUGUCAUGGUUGGGGGGUCUAUUGCAGAUUACCCCGCCAUAGCAAACUCCGAAUACCGAAGAGUGCAAUCACGGGAGACAGACAUCGGGUGCUAACGUCCGGUGUCAAGAGGGAAACAACCCAGACCGCCAGCUAAGGUCCCCAAAUAUAGCUAAGUGGGAAACGAAGUGGGAAGGCUAAAACAGUCAGGAGGUUGGCUUAGAAGCAGCCACCCUUUAAAGAAAGCGUAAUAGCUCACUGAUCGAGUCGUCCUGCGCGGAAGAUGUAACGGGGCUAAGCUAUAUACCGAAGCUGCGGAUGCGUGCUUGCACGCAUGGUAGGAGAGCGUUCCGUAAGCCUGCGAAGGUGCCUUGUAAAGGGUGCUGGAGGUAUCGGAAGUGCGAAUGCUGACAUGAGUAGCGAUAAAGGGGGUGAAAGGCCCCCUCGCCGUAAGCCCAAGGUUUCCUACGCAACGUUCAUCGGCGUAGGGUGAGUCGGCCCCUAAGGCGAGGCAGAAAUGCGUAGCUGAUGGGAAGCAGGUCAAUAUUCCUGCACCAUUGUUAGAUGCGAUGGGGGGACGGAUCGCGGAAGGUUGUCCGGGUGUUGGAAGUCCCGGUCGCUGCAUUGGAGAAGGCGCUUAGGCAAAUCCGGGCGCGGAAUUCAAGGGUGUGGCGCGAGCUUCUUCGGAAGCGAAGCAAUUGGAAGUGGUUCCAAGAAAAGCCUCUAAGCUUCAGUCUAACGAUGACCGUACCGCAAACCGACACAGGUGGGCGAGAUGAGUAUUCUAAGGCGCUUGAGAGAACUCGGGAGAAGGAACUCGGCAAAUUGGUACCGUAACUUCGGGAUAAGGUACGCCCUUGUAGCUUGACUGGCCUGCGCCAGGAGGGUGAAGGGGUUGCAAUAAACUGGUGGCUGCGACUGUUUAAUAAAAACACAGCACUCUGCAAACACGAAAGUGGACGUAUAGGGUGUGACGCCUGCCCGGUGCCGGAAGAUUAAAUGAUGGGGUGCAAGCUCUUGAUUGAAGUCCCGGUAAACGGCGGCCGUAACUAUAACGGUCCUAAGGUAGCGAAAUUCCUUGUCGGGUAAGUUCCGACCUGCACGAAUGGCGUAACGAUGGCCACACUGUCUCCUCCCGAGACUCAGCGAAGUUGAAGUGUUUGUGAUGAUGCAAUCUACCCGCGGCUAGACGGAAAGACCCCAUGAACCUUUACUGUAGCUUUGCAUUGGACUUUGAACCGAUCUGUGUAGGAUAGGUGGGAGGCUAUGAAACCGGAACGCUAGUUUCGGUGGAGCCGUCCUUGAAAUACCACCCUGGUUUGUUUGAGGUUCUAACCUUGGCCCGUGAUCCGGGUCGGGGACAGUGCAUGGUAGGCAGUUUGACUGGGGCGGUCUCCUCCCAAAGCGUAACGGAGGAGUACGAAGGUACGCUAGGUACGGUCGGAAAUCGUGCUGAUAGUGCAAUGGCAUAAGCGUGCUUAACUGCGAGACCGACAAGUCGAGCAGGUGCGAAAGCAGGUCAUAGUGAUCCGGUGGUUCUGUAUGGAAGGGCCAUCGCUCAACGGAUAAAAGGUACUCUGGGGAUAACAGGCUGAUACCGCCCAAGAGUUCAUAUCGACGGCGGUGUUUGGCACCUCGAUGUCGGCUCAUCUCAUCCUGGGGCUGUAGCCGGUCCCAAGGGUAUGGCUGUUCGCCAUUUAAAGAGGUACGUGAGCUGGGUUUAAAACGUCGUGAGACAGUUUGGUCCCUAUCUGCCGUGGGCGUUGGAUAUUUGAAGGGGGCUGCUCCUAGUACGAGAGGACCGGAGUGGACGAACCUCUGGUGUACCGGUUGUCACGCCAGUGGCAUCGCCGGGUAGCUAUGUUCGGAAGAGAUAACCGCUGAAAGCAUCUAAGCGGGAAACUCGCCUUAAGAUGAGAUAUCCCUGGGGACUAGAUCCCCUUGAAGGGUCGUUCGAGACCAGGACGUUGAUAGGUCAGGUGUGUAAGCGCAGUAAUGCGUUCAGCUAACUGAUACUAAUUGCCCGUAAGGCUUGAUCCU
rnacentral:rRNA from 1 species